CGAACGCCCCCGGGGAGCGCACGAGCGCUGAGAGUGCAGGCCGGACACCCGUCCCCCCCUGCAGACCCGUGGAACCUGAUCUGGUUCGUACCAGCGAAGGGAGCAGGGCGGACGUCACCGU
rnacentral:ncRNA from 2 species